UGCUCGGCCAGGCCGCGUGGCUGCGGGCCGACCGGCCGGCGGCGCUGGCCUGCCUGGACCGGGCGGUACGGCUGUUCGAGCCGCUGCCGGACAGCC
rnacentral:tRNA from 1 species